rnacentral:rRNA from 1 species
UACGGGGGGAGCAAGCGUUGUUCGGAUUUACUGGGCGUAAAGGGCGCGUAGGCGGCCACUGCAAGUCGGUUGUGAAAUCUCCGGGCUUAACCCGGAAAGGUCAAUCGAUACUGCAGGGCUAGAGUGCAGAAGGGGCAACUGGAAUUCUCGGUGUAGCGGUGAAAUGCGUAGAUAUCGAGAGGAACACCUGCGGCGAAGGCGGGUUGCUGGGCUGACCCUGACGCUGAAGCGCGAAAGCUAGGGGAGCGAACGGG